GGGCGCUUAGCUCAGCGGGAGAGCACUUCCCUUACAAGGAAGGGGUCGCUGGUUCGAGCCCAGCAGCGCCCA
rnacentral:tRNA from 1 species